CUGGUCCGCUCAAGACCUGCUAGAAUCGCUACAUCUCCACCGCAGUCGACGGAUACUGCUUGGUGCUCGUACCCACGCACAUCUACGCUCUCGCACCCCUCACAGCACUCGACCGCGCUGCGAUGCCGUUUUCUUUGGCAGAGCUACAGAACGUGUUCUUCGACGCCCUCACUGGCUGCCCACCAGACGCGCCACAGAAGACGAGAGACACGGCGGUGACCGUGGCCGGCGCGUCUAUCUUCGCUGGAGCGUGGCAACCGCUGGAGGCAACGCGUAUGCCGGUGCGCGCCUACCUGCGCGAGACGGGCGAGUUCGAUACGGAGGACUCAUGCAGACGAGCUGUGGUGCGCGCCGUGGAUGCGGCGUUGAACGAUGUGCUUAACGACGAUGCCGUGAACGCUUUCAUCGGUGCCAACGCGUGUGAGUCGGCCGACGUUGUCGGCGCAUGUGAGCACAUCCUGCGCAAGUACCUUCUUUGGAUGCUAGACGGCUACUUGCACUACGACGGGACACCCCAGUGCCCUUUCUACGACGCACUCAAGAGUACGGUGUGCGCGUUUUCGCUGGAGUGGGGUCAGACCUUUGGGCCGAUGUUUGCGGAGGCGCAAAGUCCCGACGAGUUCUUCAGCGUCUUGGUCACGCGCGGCGCACGGCACCACGCCACUGCCGCGGCGACAAACCCAGACGACGCCAAGGUUCGUAUGGUGACCGCCAUGUCUAUUCAGGUCUUUCUGAUAGCCAAGACGUACUCGCCCAAUACGCCGUUUCCUUCUCAAGUAGCGCUCUGAAAUCGCUCUUGGCAGGUCACGGAUCCGUGGUGUUGCCGGGGUCACGACGGUGGCGCCCCGUCUUGCCGCCGUGUUAGCUUUUGCUUUCCUCUCCUUGUCUCGUACGUCGCUUUCCGAGGUCACCCGGUCGACGAUUCCUGUCGAGUUUCUCAAGUAUUCUUGAGAAGGUGUCCCCACUUCCUCCUCGCGUGAGGCGAAAC
rnacentral:misc_RNA from 1 species